rnacentral:rRNA from 1 species
UACGGAGGGUGCGAGCGUUAAUCGGAAUAACUGGGCGUAAAGGGUGCGUAGGUAGUUGGAUAAGUUAACUGUGAAAGACCCGGGCUUAACCUGGGGGAGUCAGUUAAGACUGUUUGACUGGAGUAGAGGAGAGGGCAGUGGAAUUUCCGGUGUAGCGGUGAAAUGCGUAGAGAUCGGAAGGAACAUCGGUGGCGAAGGCGGCUGCCUGGCCUACUACUGACACUGAGGCACGAAAGCGUGGGGAGCAAACAGG